rnacentral:rRNA from 1 species
GUAGUGUAGUUAUCUAGAAGAGUUAAAAAUCAGUUACUUAAUCGAAGCCGCUGGGAAGCGGCACCACAGAGGGUAACAGUCCUGUAGAUGAAAAUUAACUGACUCUUUUACUACCAUUCUUGAGUACCUCGGGACACGACUAGCCUGAGGGAAUCCGGCAGCACUAACUGCCAAGGCUAAAUACUUUCAAAUAUCGAUAGUGAACUAGUACCGUGAGGGAAAGGUGAAAAGCAGUCCGAUGAGGACGUUGAAAUAGACCUGAACCCGUCUGCUUACAAGGAGUCGGAGCCCGCAAGGGUGACGGCGUGCCUAUUGAAGAAUGAGCCAACGAGUUUAUGUAUGCGGCUUGGCUAAGCCUUAACGGGCGGAGCCGUAGGGAAACCGAGUGUGAAUAGCGCGUUUGUCGUAUACAUAAGACCCGAAGCCAGGUGAGCUUGCCAUGAGCAGGGUGAAGGAAGUCGAAAGACUUCUGGAGGCCCGAACCGGUGACCCGUGCAAUAGUCUCGGAUGACUUGUGGUAAGGAGUGAAAAGCUAAUCGAACCUGGUAAUAGCUGGUUUUCUCCGAAAUAGCUUUAGGGUUAGCGUUUUGUUUACCUUCCGGGGGUAGAGCACUGGAAGGACUCGACAGGGAGCAAUCUCGCGAGUCCUAUCAAACUCCGAAUACCGGGAGCCAUUACAAAGCAGUUAGACGGUGGGGGCUAAGCUCCACUCGUCAAAAGGGAAACAGCCCAGAUCGCCAUCUAAGGUCCCAAAAUUAACGCUAAGUGCAUCACAAGGAGGUGAGAUUUCUCUGACAAUGAGGAUGUUGGCUUAGAAGCAGCCAUCAUUUAAAGAAAGCGUAAUAGCUCACUCAUCAAGAGAUCUUGCGCCGAAGAUAAUCGGGGCUAAGCGUUGUACCGAAGGUGCGAAUGUUAUCCUGCUUCGGCAGGGUGGCGUGGUAGGAGAAUGUUCCGUUCGGCUGUGAAGGUGUAUCGCGAGAUGCGCUGGAGUGGACGGAAGUAAGAAUGUUGGCACAAGUAACCGCAAGGCCGGUGAGAUCCCGGCCCGCCGAAAGAUCAAGGUUUCCUUGGCAAUGGUAAUCAACCAAGGGUUAGUCGGUCCUAAGGGUAUGACGACAGUCGGACCCGAUGGAUACACGGUUAAUAUUCCGUGACUUUCUUAAAGUGCGAUGGAGAGACGAAGUUUAGUAAGUUCUGCGCCUUAAUGGUUUGGCGUUCUUGCCGUGAGGACGGCUCUUAGGUAAAUCCGGGAGCUAUAAUCCAAGUGGAGAGAAAAUUCCGCGGGCAACCAAGGGAAAUAGAACCGAGCAAGCUUCCGAGAAAAACUUCUAAGCAUAACUUUAAGAAAACCGUACCGCAAACCGACACAGGUGAUCAGGUCGAGUAGACCAAGGCGAACGAGUGAUUGCUCCUCAAGGAACUCGGCAAAAAAUCGGCCGUAAGUUAGCGAUAAGGCCUGCCCCUAGCAAUAGGGGCCGCAGCUAAAGUAUCCCUGGCGACUGUUUACCAAAAACACAGCUCCCUGCGAACUCGUAAGAGGAUGUAUAGGGGGUGACACCUGACCAAUGCCAGAAGGUCAAGUAAGGUUGGUGAGAUUAUAUCAAGCUGUACUUUAUAAGCCCUGGUGAAUGUCGGCGAUAACUAUAAUCGUCCUAAGGUAGCGAAAUUCCUUGUCGGGUAAAUUCCGACGCGCACGAAUGGUGUAACGACUUGGGAACUGUCUCGAGGAGUAGCUCGGUGAAAAUGCAUUGGGGGUGAAGAUGCCCUCUACCUGCAGUUAGACGAAAAGACCCCAGAAGCUUUACUAUAGCUUGAUAUUGACCAUACGCUUUGUCUGCGUAGCAUAGAUGGGAGAGGUUGAAGGCACGAUUUCGGUUGUGCUGGACUCGACAGUGAAAUACCAUUCUUUCGACGUGUAUGUUCUAACCUCGGUAGCAAAAAUGCCGAGAGACAGUAUCUGGUGGGUAGUUUUAGUGGGGCGCUAUCCUCCUAAAAAGUAACGGAGGAGUUUAUUAAGGUUAGCUAGGCGCGAAUGGAAACCGUGCCGAUAGUGUAAUGGCAAAAGCUAGCUUGACUGCGAGGCGCAAAUGCCAAGCAGGAUGGAAACAUGAACAUAGUGAUCCGAUGGUCCGUGUUAGACGCGGCCAAAGCACAUCUGAUAAAAGCUACUCUGGGGAUAACAGGCUAGUUCCGCCCAAGCGUCCAUAGCGACGGCGGAGUUCGGCACCUCGAUGUCGGCUCAUCUUAUCCUGGGGCUGGAGAAGGUCCCAAGGGUUCGGCUGUUCGCCGAUUAAAAAGAUACGCGAGCUGGGUUCAAACCGUACUUCAGCGAAAAAGUUUCGCUUCAGUGCAGUUUGAAUCCCUUCGAGAGAGUUAUUUAAAAAAGGUUUUUCGUCUAAAAACAAAUAAAAAAGAUAGACCAAUCAUAUUACGGCGGCAUGCAACAGUGAUGUUGUGUGUACCACUCAACUAAUAUCGGUGAAGUCCCAACCGGGAUAAUACCGAGGGAAGAGUUUUUAAAAACUUACCCGUAGAGACUGAAUGUUGAGAUGCUCGCAAGAGUAUAAGUUACAGUCCAAUCCACUUAGCAAUAAGUGAAAAGGUGCGUAAGACAGGUUGGUCUCCUAUCUACUGCAGGCGUUGAUAUUUGCGAGGAUUUGACUCUAGUACGAGAGGACCGAGUUGAACUGACCUCUGGUCUGGGAGCUGUCAUACCAAUGGCACCGCUCCGUAGCUAUGUCGGGAAUGGAUAACCGCUGAAAGCAUCUAAGCGGGAAACCAACCUCAAGAUUAAGUAUCGUUAUGAGACCCGUGGGAGAUGACCACGUUGAUAGGCAUUAGGUGGAAGCACCGUAAGGUGUUAAGCCGUGAUGUACUAAUUCGUCCAUCCCUAUUAGGAA